rnacentral:rRNA from 1 species
GAUCCUGGCUCAGAACGAACGCUGGCGGCAGGCUUAACACAUGCAAGUCGAACGCACCGCAAGGUGAGUGGCAGACGGGUGAGUAACGCGUGGGAACCUUCCCUUUGGUACGGAAUAACUUCGGGAAACCGAAGCUAAUACCGUAUAUCUCCUGCGGGAGAAAGAUUUAUCGCCGAAGGAUGGGCCCGCGUUGGAUUAGCUAGUUGGUAGGGUAAAAGCCUACCAAGGCGACGAUCCAUAGCUGGUCUGAGAGGAUGAUCAGCCACACUGGGACUGAGACACGGCCCAGACUCCUACGGGAGGCAGCAGUGGGGAAUAUUGGACAAUGGGCGCAAGCCUGAAUCCAGCCAUGCCGCGUGAGUGAAGAAGGCCUUAGGGUUGUAAAGCUCUUUUGGCGGGGACGAUAAUGACGGUACCCGCAGAAUAAGCCCCGGCUAACUUCGUGCCAGCAGCUGC